AUACGUAGGGAGCGAGCGUUGUCCGGAAUUACUGGGUGUAAAGGGAGCGUAGGCGGGAGUGCAAGUCAGAUGUGAAAUACAUGGGCUCAACCCAUGGGCUGCAUUUGAAACUGCAUUUCUUGAGUGAAGUAGAGGUAAGCGGAAUUCCUGGCGUAGCGGUGAAAUGCGUAGAUAUCAGGAGGAACACCGGUGGCGAAGGCGGCUUACUGGGCUUUUACUGACGCUGAGGCUCGAAAGCGUGGGGAGCAAACAGGAUUAGAUACCCUGGUAGUCCACGCUGUAAACGAUGAUUACUAGGUGUGGGGGGACUGACCCCUUCCGUGCCGCAGUUAACACAAUAAGUAAUCCACCUGGGGAGUACGGCCGCAAGGUUGAAACUCAAAUGAAUUGGCGGGG
rnacentral:rRNA from 1 species